CUGGGCAAGAGCAGGAGUCAGUCAGCAAACCUUUCUUUGUAGAAAGUGGAAAUUCAGAGUAUAAACAGGAUUGAAGAUGGCAUGCUUAAACAAAGUGUUUUCAGGCCUCCUUAGAAACAGCCAGGAGCAAUGCAGGCAACCAGGUGCUGAGAGUCUUUCAGAGGAUGCCUUUUAUCCUGCCUUCCAGCACCUUCAGUGACAUUCUGUUUGGGGAGGAGAGCAGAGACUUGGCAAUUCCACAGUCUUAUGACCCACUGUACUAGCUUGGACCAGCCUCACAGAUGUGGAUGUGAAAGAUUCUGAUCAGGAAAGCCAGAGAACUAAGGCAAGGGGCUGACUUCCUAACUGGUGUUGUAGCUGAUUUCUCCCCUCUAGAAAAUGGAAUAUCUAACUGGAAGGAAGUGUGCCAAGCUUGUAACUCCUAUGCCAGUUCAGGUCCAUUGGUAGAGGCUGCCUGGAGGGCUGUGUUGAGAAGCUUUUGAGGGUUAGCAGGAAAGAGAGCUGGGGUCCAUUAGCAAUGUCUUCUCUGAGCAAGGGAGAGCGAGCAGGAGCACAUUUACUUGCCAUAUAUUCACCACUCCUGAUAUUGAUACACCCAAAGUCUUCUUGAGUUCAGAUCUUAUACAAGGACUGUUCCCAUACACCAGGAAGUGACAGCAAUCUACAGAUAAUUGCUUGUGAUUUCAGGCCAUGGGCAUUACCAACAACCAAGGUAAGGGGACCCUAGUUCUUCUGCAGACUAGAAAUACUAACAGACUGUCUUUCCCUGGUCAACCCAGAACUGAGAAGCCAACAUGAAUAGCCCCUUCCCUGGUGACUCACCAUGAGAGAAAGGCAAGAAGCAGCCCUCCUCGGCCCACUUUAGUCAUGAGAGACCGAGAAAGCAAAAUGUCAUCUGCAAAAGUGAAAAGAACUUUGAGCAGAGGUGCACUGGGAAUGGAGUCGCCCCCUGUCUGUAAAUUGAGGACAACAACAGUUGUCCUCCCUGGAGGAAUUCCUCGUGACACGCAAUGAGAUAAUCAUACAAAGAGCUCAGCACAGUGCCUGACACCCAGCAAUCACACCUAAUCAAGUGACCCAGUGCUCUCGUAUCAUUCUUUAGCUCACUCUUUGGUGGCACUGGGACUGAGGAUAUUAAAUCUAUUCUGAAACUGGUCCGCCCAUCGGCAGGGCGGGAGCUCUCCAUCUCACCACCAAGGCCCCAUGGUCACCAGUUCCAAUAACACAAUUAGUCAUCUUUCAUUCUUAAGAUAUCUACCCAUGGGUGGGUGCACGUGUGCAGGUAUGAGGGUAUAUGUGCUGCUCCGAGAAGGG
ensembl:lncRNA